GCUCGCUUCGGCAGCACAUAUUAAAAUUGGAAGUAUACAGAGGAAAUUAGCAUUGCCCCUGCACGAGGAUGACAUGAAAGUUUGUGAAGCAUUCCGAAAUAUU